AGUGAACGCUGGCGGUAGGCCUAACACAUGCAAGUCGAACGGCAGCACAGUAAGAGCUUGCUCUUACGGGUGGCGAGUGGCGGACGGGUGAGGAAUACAUCGGAAUCUACUUUUUCGUGGGGGAUAACGUAGGGAAACUUACGCUAAUACCGCAUACGACCUACGGGUGAAAGCAGGGGAUCUUCGGACCUUGCGCGAUUGAAUGAGCCGAUGUCGGCUUAGCUAGUUGGCGGGGUAAAGGCCCACCAAGGCGACGAUCCGUAGCUGGUCUGAGAGGAUGAUCAGCCACACUGGAACUGAGGCACGGUCCAGACUCCGACGGGGAGCAGCAGUGGGGAAUACUAGACAAUGGGCGAAAGCCUGAUCCAGCCAUACCGCGUAGGUGAAGAAGGCCUUCGGGUUGUAAAGCCCUUUUGUUGGGAAAGAAAAGCAGCAGGUUAAUACCCCGCUGUUCUGACGGUACCCAAAGAAUAAGCACCGGCUAACUUCGUG
rnacentral:rRNA from 1 species